UGGGGAAUAUUGGACAAUGGGCGAAAGCCUGAUCCAGCCAUGCCGCGUGUGUGAAGAAGGUCUUCGGAUUGUAAAGCACUUUAAGUUGGGAGGAAGGGCAUUAACCUAAUACGUUAGUGUUUUGACGUUACCGACAGAAUAAGCACCGGCUAACUCUGUGCCAGCAGCCGCGGUAAUACAGAGGGUGCAAGCGUUAAUCGGAAUUACUGGGCGUAAAGCGCGCGUAGGUGGUUUGUUAAGUUGGAUGUGAAAUCCCCGGGCUCAACCUGGGAACUGCAUUCAAAACUGACUGACUAGAGUAUGGUAGAGGGUGGUGGAAUUUCCUGUGUAGCGGUGAAAUGCGUAGAUAUAGGAAGGAACACCAGUGGCGAAGGCGACCACCUGGACUAAUACUGACACUGAGGUGCGGAAGCGUGGGGAGCAAACA
rnacentral:rRNA from 1 species